AUUGAACGCUGGCGGCAUGCCUUACACAUGCAAGUCGAACGGCAGCGGGGGUAGCUUGCUACCUGCCGGCGAGUGGCGAACGGGUGAGUAAUACAUCGGAACGUGCCCUGUAGUGGGGGAUAACUAGUCGAAAGACUAGCUAAUACCGCAUACGACCUGAGGGUGAAAGUGGGGGACCGCAAGGCCUCAUGCUAUAGGAGCGGCCGAUGUCUGAUUAGCUAGUUGGUGGGGUAAAGGCCCACCAAGGCGACGAUCAGUAGCUGGUCUGAGAGGACGAUCAGCCACACUGGGACUGAGACACGGCCCAGRCUCCUACGGGAGGCAGCAGUGGGGAAUUUUGGACAAUGGGGGCAACCCUGAUCCAGCAAUGCCGCGUGUGUGAAGAAGGCCUUCGGGUUGUAAAGCACUUUUGUCCGGAAAGAAAUCGCACUGGUUAAUACCUGGUGUGGAUGACGGUACCGGAAGAAUAAGGACCGGCUAACUACGUGCCAGCAGCCGCGGUAAUACGUAGGGUCCAAGCGUUAAUCGGAAUUACUGGGCGUAAAGCGUGCGCAGGCGGUUGUGCAAGACCGAUGUGAAAUCCCCGGGCUUAACCUGGGAAUUGCAUUGGUGACUGCACGGCUAGAGUGUGUCAGAGGGAGGUAGAAUUCCACGUGUAGCAGUGAAAUGCGUAGAGAUGUGGAGGAAUACCGAUGGCGAAGGCAGCCUCCUGGGAUAACACUGACGCUCAUGCACGAAAGCGUGGGGAGCAAACAGG
rnacentral:rRNA from 1 species